AUUGAACGCUGGCGGCAUGCCUUACACAUGCAAGUCGAACGGCAGCACGGGGGCAACCCUGGUGGCGAGUGGCGAACGGGUGAGUAAUACAUCGGAACGUGCCCCGUAGCGGGGGACAACCAGUCGAAAGACUGGCUAAUACCGCAUACGCUCCACGGAGGAAAGCAGGGGAUCGCAAGACCUUGCACUAUGGGAGCGGCCGAUGCCCGAUUAGCUAGUUGGUGAGGUAAAGGCUCACCAAGGCAACGAUCGGUAGCUGGUCUGAGAGGACGACCAGCCACACUGGGACUGA
rnacentral:rRNA from 1 species